AUGCCACUAGGCCAGGCCGGCCCAUUUGCCUCUAGGCCCAGCCGCCCCGCUGCUCUAACCCUAGCCCGCACCGCAGCGCUCUCUCCCUCGCGCCGUCAUCUCUCUUUCCCUCGAUCUCUCCCUCCUGCACCCGCGCCUCUCGCUCGAUCCCCUCUUCCUCCCACACAGCGCCCGCAGCUCGCCGCGCCCUCGAUCUCCUCCCUCGCGCCCCUUCCUCCUCCCGUGCCUCUCGACCCCGCGCUCUGCCCUCACCGGAGAAGCGGGCCAAGCCGCACCCCCGUCAGCCUCCUCAACGCCGCCGCUUCGUCCAGCAAGUCCAGGCCGCCGAGCUCGCCUGGGCCGCACGACCAUGGCACCCUCGGCCUCCUCACCACCCCAGGAGCCGCACCGCCCCGACCUCGCCGCCGGCAGCAGCAGCAGCUGCUGCACCCUCUCGCCGGCGCCGCGCCCGGACCUUCCCCGACCUCCUCGUCGUCGCUUCGCCCGUCCACGACCACCAGGAGCCCGGAGUCCCCCUGCCUCCUCCCUCCGCCAAGCGACCGCCGCCAUCUCUCCCUCCUGCAGCCCUCGAACCCCCCUCGCUCCACCACGCCAGUGACCCCAUCGGGGCAGCCAACUCCGCCGGCCUCCAUGGCCACGCCUUCGCCCCUGCGGCCUCCUCCUCGUCGCCCCGCGCCUCCCGGAGGGCCACCUGCGCGCGACUCCGUCGCUUCGCGCCAACGCUCCGCUCCUCCCGAUCCCCUGCUGCUGCCUUAUCGAAGUCCGCCAAGGCCCUCUGUUCGACUCCGUGUACAACUACACGGUGAGAUGCCAAGUACCACUACCGUCGACAUGAACAUCUACGAAAACGUGUACAACUACCCUCGUCACGUGAACAACGACUUCCACUACGACCCGUGA
rnacentral:rRNA from 1 species